GACGAACCGUGCGAACGUUGUUCGGAAUCACUGGGCUUAAAGGGCGCGUAGGCGGGCCACCCAGUCCGGGGUGAAAUCUUUCGGCUCAACCGGAAAAGGGCCUUGGAUGACUGGUGGUCUGGAGGAAGGUAGGGGCAUGCGGAACUUCCGGUGGAGCGGUGAAAGUGACGUUGAUAGUCGGAAGGAACGCCGGUGGCGAAAGACGGCGAUGCGU
rnacentral:rRNA from 1 species